ensembl:lncRNA novel transcript
GGCAAAGAGGGGUUACGGUGAGUUCUUCCAGGCAAAGAGGAUUUUGUCUGGAAGUCCUCUUUGAGCAAAGACAUGGAGUCCACAUGAGCAAAGACAUGGAGGAGAAAAACGGCAUGGCACGAAGGGAACUGCAGACAGGUCAAAAAUCCUCUGUCACCCAUGCUGAAGUAUAAUGGCACCAUCACAGCUCACUGCAGCCUCGACCUCCAGGGCUCAAUCAAUCCUCCCACCUCAGUCUCCUGAGAGGGAAAAGCAAAGAGAAGAUGCGAUGAAGCCACAGAGCAGGAAGAGGCCUCGGUUGCUGUCCUGACCAGUCCUCUCACUUCACCAUCAAGGCCAUGAAACCCAGAGAAGGGAUGUGACUUGAGAUCCAGCCAGACCCAGAUCCAGAGUUGGGAGGGCAGGGGUGCUGCAAUAUGAUCACAGAAUCGACACUCGACCCCUCCCAGCGACCUGGCAAAGUGGGCACUAACUCCAUUCUGCAGAGGUGGAAACUGAGGCCAGUGUGGGGAAUGGAAAUUGACUGGGCUAAGCUUAGAAGCCUGAACUCUGACCCCAAAGCUCUCUCUUGUACCUUUGACCCCCUUGUCUUGUCCUGCAGCUCUUAAGGUUACAGUGAGCCAGUUUUUCAUUUUGCCUUUCUCCAAUGGAGGCACCUUGGAAAAUAGAGAUCUGGCUGGAGCAACCUGGAAC